CCAAGAGCGCUCCAUAUUCCUUUUGAUCUUGCCUCGUGAUGAGGGUGCAGGCAGCUGUAGAAUCCCAAAGAAGGGAUCCAAACAAUGUUUGAAGACCCCACCCCAAUUUAUCUUUUUUCUUUGAUUUCACAAAUACACCCACCCACACGGUCCUCUCUCCAGUUAGAGGAAAAUCUCUCCCACCCACUAUGGUCAGUACCGCUUGCCAAGGGCAGCCUUAGAGUAUGCUGAGGCAGACCCCAGGAAAGGGGCUGGCACUGAAUGAAAAGGAAGCUAAGCUUUUAAACGUCCACGCAAAACCCCAGCCUCGCAAGGAACUUCACAAACUGGAGAGAAGCUGGGGUGGAAGCCAUUGAGGAAAACACAUGUGUUUAGAGAGAGACUGACCAUUUCUGCUGAGGCUCCUGGCCUCAGUUUCCCCCAAUGCACCCUGGGCCUGCCGUGCUGUUUGUCUCUCCCACUGCCCUGCAUUCAGUGUUUGCCCUCCACUCUGAUGUGGAUUGGAAAACAGGCUAAGGAUUAAACCUUUUAACCGGU
rnacentral:lncRNA from 1 species